rnacentral:rRNA from 1 species
UAGGGAAUAUUAGAAAUGGACGAAAGUCUGAUCUAGCAACACCGCGUGUGCGAAGAAGGCCUUUGGGUCGUAAAGCACUUUUUGGAAGGAAUAGGAAGGAAUGUACUUCCAGAAUAAGUCUCGGCUAACUACGUGCCAGCAGCCGCGGUAACACGUAGGAGGCAAACGUUAUCCGGAUUUACUGGGCGUAAAGCGCGUGUAGGUGGUGCUGUAAGUAGGGCGUGAAAGCUCCUGGCUCAACUGGGAGAGGCCGUUCUAAACUACAGAACUAGAGGGUGGUAGAGGGAGGUGGAAUUCCAGGUGUAGCGGUGGAAUGCGCAGAUAUCUGGAGGAACACCGGUGGCGAAGGCGGCCUCCUGGACCAUUCCUGACACUCGGACGCGAAAGCUAGGGUAGCAAACGG